AGGAACUGGCAGUUGACUUGAUUGAGAAGAUGGCAUCAAGUGACAUUUUUCAGGUCACAAAAAGAUGGUGACAUGGACAAAUGCAAUGCAUGGUAUUUCAGGGUUAAGUACUACUGUGUUUCAAUUAAAUUGUGGAUCAGAAGAGCAGAACACUCUCCUGUGAAUUCUCUGAAGUAUCAAGUCUCGUCUACCCUAAACAGCUUCCUCUACAAGACAGUCCUGCUGGGAGAAUGCUUGUAAGGGUCAAGGUUGGGAUCUAAACUUUGCCCCAUAAACCCUUGGCUUAGCUCCAGGGAUCCAGCUUGCCACAGCAGCACGGACAAGUAGACAGUGGUAUCCCAACCUUGUACCUAGAACAUAGGUGGUGGAUUGAGGAGAAUUCUGAUCCCUGUGUGUCGACUCACGGAUGCGUUGGUUGCCUGUCUUCGGGGAGGACAUUUGCCUAUUUCUAGUCCUCUGGAAUCUCUCCCAUUCUCUAUACGAAGUAACAAGAACUUGCACUGCGAUGGUAACCAUGAGCAUGGAAAGGAAAGCAUGGCUAUGAACACCACUCAAAUGAGCAGCCACCCUGCUUAUGCACGGGGAUGCAGAAGAGGCAAGAAGGAGACGCAGAUGGUUGCAAAACAUGAGCCUGACUACAUUCUGGGAUGAGGAGACUGACCGACAGUAACCUGCCAAUAGCUUUGGCCCAUGAGGACAAAGGGAUGCUAUUUCAAGCAGAGGGAAGAGGAGCAGCAUGAACAUCAGACAGUGACUUAGCCCUGAAAGAACUGGCCAGAAAAUAGGCCUGAGAGCUGAGGCAGAUCACUUCCCUCUCUUUCAUGUGCUGCCCAGACUCUCCCUUCUUCUCCUAGUUGACCGCUCCUCACCCUUCUAGGUCAACCAAAUAUCUGGAUAGAACUUUACAGUUCAUGAAGCGCUUUCACAUACAUUGUCUCAUCAACCCUGUGCGAGAGAUUGGCAUUCCCAGUUUGUAGUCAGGGAACCUGCGUGGUAGUAAGGGGCAGGAGUAGGUGUUGAGCAGAGGUAUUGUGAUUCUCUCUUUAUCCAAUUGAACACUGUAUCAGGUUCUCUAAGAGACAGAAGCAUAAGACAUGGCCUUUUGACCCCAGGGGCCUACCAUCUUAUUGGUGAAACACACAUAAAACACAUCAAAAGAUUAGAGAAUAAGUUCAGUAUGUGCAUCAGAUAACUAUAUAUCAAGACUGCAAUGCAGAGCGUAGGAAACUCUCAAAUGUCUGCAGGCCUAUCUAAGAGGAGAAGAGUGAGUCAUCAAAGGCACCCAGUUGUGUGUGGGAGUCAUCACUGGGGGUUGAAUUAUCAGGCCAAAAACAACUGGGCAUGGCUCAGUUUCUGGAGCUGUUUCAUGUCAGGGUUAGCUCCCACUUCAAAGAAACCCAGCAGACGGGAAAUGAAAGUUCAGGACAUCUUCCUUUAAAUCUGUUUUCAAAAUGGCUCAUGCAGCUUGCUGUCUGGUAUCUCCAAAAGGCGUAUUUCAAAGAUUAUCAUUACUAUUUGUCUUUUAUCGAGAGCCAGUAGUAUGCA
rnacentral:lncRNA from 1 species